GGGUUGUGAGGUUAAGCGACUAAGCGUACACGGUGGAUGCCCUGGCAGUCAGAGGCGAUGAAGGACGUGCUAAUCUGCGAUAAGCGUCGGUAAGGUGAUAUGAACCGUUAUAACCGGCGAUUUCCGAAUGGGGAAACCCAGUGUGUUUCGACACACUAUCAUUAACUGAAUCCAUAGGUUAAUGAGGCGAACCGGGGGAACUGAAACAUCUAAGUACCCCGAGGAAAAGAAAUCAACCGAGAUUCCCCCAGUAGCGGCGAGCGAACGGGGAGCAGCCCAGAGCCUGAAUCAGUAUGUGUGUUAGUGGAAGCGUCUGGAAAGGCGCGCGAUACAGGGUGACAGCCCCGUACACAAAAAUGCACAUAUUGUGAGCUCGAUGAGUAGGGCGGGACACGUGGUAUCCUGUCUGAAUAUGGGGGGACCAUCCUCCAAGGCUAAAUACUCCUGACUGACCGAUAGUGAACCAGUACCGUGAGGGAAAGGCGAAAAGAACCCCGGCGAGGGGAGUGAAAAAGAACCUGAAACCGUGUACGUACAAGCAGUGGGAGCACGCUUAGGCGUGUGACUGCGUACCUUUUGUAUAAUGGGUCAGCGACUUAUAUUCUGUAGCAAGGUUAACCGAAUAGGGGAGCCGAAGGGAAACCGAGUCUUAACUGGGCGUUAAGUUGCAGGGUAUAGACCCGAAACCCGGUGAUCUAGCCAUGGGCAGGUUGAAGGUUGGGUAACACUAACUGGAGGACCGAACCGACUAAUGUUGAAAAAUUAGCGGAUGACUUGUGGCUGGGGGUGAAAGGCCAAUCAAACCGGGAGAUAGCUGGUUCUCCCCGAAAGCUAUUUAGGUAGCGCCUCGUGAAUUCAUCUCCGGGGGUAGAGCACUGUUUCGGCAAGGGGGUCAUCCCGACUUACCAACCCGAUGCAAACUGCGAAUACCGGAGAAUGUUAUCACGGGAGACACACGGCGGGUGCUAACGUCCGUCGUGAAGAGGGAAACAACCCAGACCGCCAGCUAAGGUCCCAAAGUCAUGGUUAAGUGGGAAACGAUGUGGGAAGGCCCAGACAGCCAGGAUGUUGGCUUAGAAGCAGCCAUCAUUUAAAGAAAGCGUAAUAGCUCACUGGUCGAGUCGGCCUGCGCGGAAGAUGUAACGGGGCUAAACCAUGCACCGAAGCUGCGGCAGCGACGCUUAUGCGUUGUUGGGUAGGGGAGCGUUCUGUAAGCCUGUGAAGGUGUGCUGUGAGGCAUGCUGGAGGUAUCAGAAGUGCGAAUGCUGACAUAAGUAACGAUAAAGCGGGUGAAAAGCCCGCUCGCCGGAAGACCAAGGGUUCCUGUCCAACGUUAAUCGGGGCAGGGUGAGUCGACCCCUAAGGCGAGGCCGAAAGGCGUAGUCGAUGGGAAACAGGUUAAUAUUCCUGUACUUGGUGUUACUGCGAAGGGGGGACGGAGAAGGCUAUGUUGGCCGGGCGACGGUUGUCCCGGUUUAAGCGUGUAGGCUGGUUUUCCAGGCAAAUCCGGAAAAUCAAGGCUGAGGCGUGAUGACGAGGCACUACGGUGCUGAAGCAACAAAUGCCCUGCUUCCAGGAAAAGCCUCUAAGCAUCAGGUAACAUCAAAUCGUACCCCAAACCGACACAGGUGGUCAGGUAGAGAAUACCAAGGCGCUUGAGAGAACUCGGGUGAAGGAACUAGGCAAAAUGGUGCCGUAACUUCGGGAGAAGGCACGCUGAUAUGUAGGUGAAGUCCCUUGCGGAUGGAGCUGAAAUCAGUCGAAGAUACCAGCUGGCUGCAACUGUUUAUUAAAAACACAGCACUGUGCAAACACGAAAGUGGACGUAUACGGUGUGACGCCUGCCCGGUGCCGGAAGGUUAAUUGAUGGGGUCAGCGCAAGCGAAGCUCUUGAUCGAAGCCCCGGUAAACGGCGGCCGUAACUAUAACGGUCCUAAGGUAGCGAAAUUCCUUGUCGGGUAAGUUCCGACCUGCACGAAUGGCGUAAUGAUGGCCAGGCUGUCUCCACCCGAGACUCAGUGAAAUUGAACUCGCUGUGAAGAUGCAGUGUACCCGCGGCAAGACGGAAAGACCCCGUGAACCUUUACUAUAGCUUGACACUGAACAUUGAGCCUUGAUGUGUAGGAUAGGUGGGAGGCUUGGAAGUGUGGACGCCAGUCUGCAUGGAGCCGACCUUGAAAUACCACCCUUUAAUGUUUGAUGUUCUAACGUUGACCCGUAAUCCGGGUUGCGGACAGUGUCUGGUGGGUAGUUUGACUGGGGCGGUCUCCUCCUAAAGAGUAACGGAGGAGCACGAAGGUUGGCUAAUCCUGGUCGGACAUCAGGAGGUUAGUGCAAUGGCAUAAGCCAGCUUGACUGCGAGCGUGACGGCGCGAGCAGGUGCGAAAGCAGGUCAUAGUGAUCCGGUGGUUCUGAAUGGAAGGGCCAUCGCUCAACGGAUAAAAGGUACUCCGGGGAUAACAGGCUGAUACCGCCCAAGAGUUCAUAUCGACGGCGGUGUUUGGCACCUCGAUGUCGGCUCAUCACAUCCUGGGGCUGAAGUAGGUCCCAAGGGUAUGGCUGUUCGCCAUUUAAAGUGGUACGCGAGCUGGGUUUAGAACGUCGUGAGACAGUUCGGUCCCUAUCUGCCGUGGGCGCUGGAGAACUGAGGGGGGCUGCUCCUAGUACGAGAGGACCGGAGUGGACGCAUCACUGGUGUUCGGGUUGUCAUGCCAAUGGCACUGCCCGGUAGCUAAAUGCGGAAGAGAUAAGUGCUGAAAGCAUCUAAGCACGAAACUUGCCCCGAGAUGAGUUCUCCCUGACCCUUUAAGGGUCCUGAAGGAACGUUGAAGACGACGACGUUGAUAGGCCGGGUGUGUAAGCGCAGCGAUGCGUUGAGCUAACCGGUACUAAUGAACCGUGAGGCUUAACCUUACAACGCCGAAGCUGUU
rnacentral:rRNA from 1 species